UACGUAGGGUGCAAGCGUUGUCCGGAAUUAUUGGGCGUAAAGAGCUCGUAGGCGGCUUUGCAAGUCGAUUGUGAAAUCCCCAGGCUUAACCUGGGAACUGCAUUCGAGACUGCAUAGCUAGAGUAUGGGAGAGGGAAGUGGAAUUUCAGGUGUAGCGGUGAAAUGCGUAGAUAUCUGAAGGAACAUCAGUGGCGAAAGCGACUUCCUGGACCAAUACUGACGCUCAUGCGCGAAAGCGUGGGGAGCAAACAGG
rnacentral:rRNA from 1 species